UGGACGACCCCUGGCUCACCACGGGUCCCUCGUGGUCCAGGAUGAACACCUCCUCCUGGCAAAUUUCUGUCACAAAGUGGAGGUGCUCCUGCAAAGACAGAGAUCAUGUGACCACCGGCUACAAUGGUCGUUUGGGUCCAGUUGUUCUGCUCCAACGUCUGAUUGGAAACAACCUGAGACCACUGCCAAAGAUGGGUCAGAGAGCGGUUCCUGGCACUGGGUCUGCUUAGAUGUAUUCAGACUGAGAAUUUGUUGCGGACUGCGGUUCACUUUAAGUGGACCACAUGUGUCCGGUCUGAAUUCAUCCUUGAUUUCAUGUCUUUAGUCAACAGGUGAGGCACUUUUAAGUAUUUUUAUGGAUUAUUUAGUUCUAUCUUUUUUUAAUGUCUCUCUUGUUUAAAUUAAAGUAAGAGUUGUGGACCAGGGACAAAACUAGCUAUCUAGCUGGCUUUAAAUUCAUCCAUCCAUCCAUCCAUCCAUCCAUCCAUCCAUCCAUCACAUAACAUUUGCAGCUAGAAGUUGUAAACCUGAAUCCAAAUAAGUUCAAUAAAAAAGCUUUGAUUGUCGUCU